GCUUGCUGCUGAUGCUCCAACACCUUACUCAGCUCCGCAACCUUUUUCUCUACUGCAUUUGAGGAGUCUGUCAGGUAAAGAUCAUAAGGAAACUACGGGCUCAGAUUCAGACGGAGGAUUCAAACCCAGAAAUUUCAGCAAAUUUCUGUGGUCAAAGCCUGAGGAGAGAGGGAAGACACAAGUUCAGCCCACACGCAAGGAGAGCCUUUCAGAGCAGGAGGCCCCCACUCAGGGAAGCUCCUGACAAGGCCUGUCGCUGUCUUCUGUUCCUGUCUGUGCUCGUCUUCCUGCAGAUCUACACAGAGGAGCCACACACCUGCACAGUAAUUGAGAGCCAAUGCCCAGAUCCAGCAGUGUGUCAACUUGAGGCUGGUGAUGGGAGCCUAGGCACAUCCCAAGGAUGGACAGGGGAGGAGCCCUGGAGGAUUCAAACAGUGGAUCGAGGAUCAGAGACACAGGUGGAGUGUGUGGUGGCAUGAUGGAGGACAAAGUCACUAAAUGCGAACAGAGUGAAUGAGAAAAGGGUAAAAGAGAGGAAUAGCCACACAGACAAGGUUAAGUUCGAAUACUGUGUGGAGAUGGUUUCCUCUUGAAAACAUUUCUACAUGCUAGUUUGAUUGGGGAUGGAUAGUGGUGGUUUCCAAAGAAUGUGCUCCACCUGUUCUGUCACCGCCACUGAGAUGACACUCCAGCUCGACAACAGCAGUUAUGUGGGACAGUGAAACGUGGAUGAGUACAGUCAAAACUGAUAAGAAGGGUAAUAUUUUCCACUGAAGAUGUGUCAGGCAGAUCUCAAAGUUAAACUGGUGUGACCACAUUACAAACAAGGAAAUGUGGAGAAGGACGAAAGCAUGAAACAGAUGUCACCAGAAGAGAAACAGAAAUGAGAAAGGCCUAAGCUUACAUGGUGUACAAUGUGGCACAAAGACUUGAAGCAAAUCAGUAGUGCCCGGCAAAGACACAGGAUGACCUAUUGUAAAUAAUAAUGUUCAGUCAAAGGCUUACAUUUUAACAUUUCAAAUAAUUGUAACUAUUUUGUGAAUAUUUCUGUCUGAGUGUGUAACCCUGUGGUAAAAAGUACGUAUUUAUUCAGAGAGUGUAUUUUUAUAUAGCAGCACCAUCCGUAAUUUGUUUGCUACACUCAUUUUAACACGCAUCAUCUGCUUUUUUAAAAUAAAGAAUAAAUUGUUUAUGCAAAUGCCUCCAUA